UAUACAUGCAAGUCGAGCGGACAGAUGGGAGCUUGCUCCCUGAUGUUAGCGGCGGACGGGUGAGUAACACGUGGGUAACCUGCCUGUAAGACUGGGAUAACUCCGGGAAACCGGGGCUAAUACCGGAUGGUUGUUUGAACCGCAUGGUUCAAACAUAAAAGGUGGCUUCGGCUACCACUUACAGAUGGACCCGCGGCGCAUUAGCUAGUUGGUGAGGUAACGGCUCACCAAGGCAACGAUGCGUAGCCGACCUGAGAGGGUGAUCGGCCACACUGGGACUGAGACACGGCCCAGACUCCUACGGGAGGCAGCAGUAGGGAAUCUUCCGCAAUGGACGAAAGUCUGACGGAGCAACGCCGCGUGAGUGAUGAAGGUUUUCGGAUCGUAAAGCUCUGUUGUUAGGGAAGAACAAGUACCGUUCGAAUAGGGCGGUACCUUGACGGUACCUAACCAGAAAGCCACGGCUAACUACGUGCCAGCAGCCGCGGUAAUACGUAGGUGGCAAGCGUUGUCCGGAAUUAUUGGGCGUAAAGGGCUCGCAGGCGGUUUCUUAAGUCUGAUGUGAAAGCCCCCGGCUCAACCGGGGAGGGUCAUUGGAAACUGGGGAACUUGAGUGCAGAAGAGGAGAGUGGAAUUCCACGUGUAGCGGUGAAAUGCGUAGAGAUGUGGAGGAACACCAGUGGCGAAGGCGACUCUCUGGUCU
rnacentral:rRNA from 1 species